AUUUGUGAACUUCAUGUGACAGAAACUCUGACCUACAGUUGUAAAGUUAGCUGGAUAUCAGGGGCAUCAGGUACUGACCAGAGCCAAAUGCUGAUGGAUGGACACUGGUAAACUGCAAUAUUGAUCUGUCCCAAGCAGUACAGGCUGGGCAGUUGUGGACAUGGCUCGUUGAAAGCUAUAAAGUACUAGUAACUGUAAUGUUAUGUUUCACUGAUUACAGUAUAUCAAACCAAAGACAAGGAUGGACAACAGUGAGGUCCACUUUGAAAAUGAAGAGGAACAGUUAAAUCAACAAAUUAUUGAAGUACAAAAAGAUGUAGAAGAAAAUAUACAGACUGCAGACUCUCUACUCAAUGCAUUAGAAGAAGACUACAAUGUAAAUGAGGAGUGGAAGGAAAAU